AUAACGACUCUCGACAACGGAUAUCUCGGCUCUCGCAUCGAUGAAGAACGUAGCAGAAUGCGAUACUUGGUGUGAAUUGCAGAAUCCCGUGAACCAUCGAGUUUUUGAACGCAAGUUGCGCCUAAAGCCAUUAGGUUGAGGGCACGUCUGCCUGGGCGUCUCGC
rnacentral:rRNA from 1 species